rnacentral:rRNA from 1 species
CCCUUAGAUGUUCUGGGCCGCACGCGCGCUACACUGACGAAUGCAACGAGCUUAUAACCUUGGCCGAAAGGUCUGGGUAAUCUCCAAAUUUCGUCGUGAUGGGGAUAGAUUAUUGCAAUUAUUAAUCUUCAACGAGGAAUGCCUAGUAAGCGCAAGUCAUCAGCUUGCGUUGAUUACGUCCCUGCCCUUUGUACACACCGCCCGUCGCUCCUACCGAUGGGGUGAUCCGGUGAAUGAUUCGGACUUUCGCGUUGCUAGCUACUAGUACUGCGGAAGAAAGUCUUGUGAACCUUAUCACUUGGAGGAAGGAGAAGUCGUAACA